CAAUAGCGUAUAUUAAAGUUGUUGCAGUUAAAAAGCUCGUAGUUGGAUUUCUGGUGGGAGCGAUCGGUCUGGCGCUUAGCGCGAGUACUCGCAUCGUCUCCGGCCAUCCUUGGGGAGAGUCUGUCUGGCAUUAGGUUGUCGGGCAGAGGAUCCUCAUCGUUUACUGUGAAAAAAUUAGAGUGUUCAAAGCAGGCUUAUGCCGUUGAAUAUAUUAGCAUGGAAUAAUAAGAUAGGACUUUGGUACUAUUUUGUUGGUUUGCGCACCAAAGUAAUGAUUAAUAGGGACAGUUGGGGGUAUUCGUAUUCCGUUGUCAGAGGUGAAAUUCUUGGAUUUACGGAAGACGAACUACUGCGAAAGCAUUUACCAAGGAUGUUUUCAUUAA
rnacentral:rRNA from 1 species